AUAUAGAUUAAGUUAUUAAGGGCGCACGGUGGAUGCCUUGGCACUAGAAGCCGAUGAAGGACGUUACUAACGACGAUAUGCUUUGGGGAGCUGUAAGUAAGCUUUGAUCCAGAGAUUUCCGAAUGGGGAAA
rnacentral:rRNA from 1 species